CUCUGGGCCUGCCAGUGUGAAAAACUGGAAUUCUCCAACUCUCCACUUAUGACUGGUGUUCCGAUUUUCUGGACGGCCAAGCCCAGACUGGACUCAUUGGAGGGACGGACCGACUCACCAGGAAAGGCCACAGGAUCAGUUACAGGUGACAUCCCGUGGAUCCACCACACCAGCGUCAAGAAGGCAGCAGCUUCCUGUGAUAAGGACACCUGGAAAGCAGUUCGGGGCCCCAAAAACCUCCUCAAGGUCCAGUUCCAAAGACAAAGGCCCUCACCCAGGAAGGACGCUGAGCCCUGCUCUAGUCACGCCGGAAGCUGACUAGACAACACACAGUGGAAGCUUGAGGAUCUGGCUAUCAAAAUAUCGAUGGAUUUUCAUUGUCAACCCUGGCUGAGAUGAUUUUUUACAGAAUAAAAGAGG